UACGGGGGGAGCAAGCGUUGUUCGGAUUUACUGGGCGUAAAGGGCGCGUAGGCGGCCAGCACAAGUCAGUUGUGAAAUCUCCGGGCUUAACUCGGAAAGGUCAACUGAUACUGUGCGGCUAGAGUGCAGAAGGGGCAACUGGAAUUCUCGGUGUAGCGGUGAAAUGCGUAGAUAUCGAGAGGAACACCUGCGGCGAAGGCGGGUUGCUGGGCUGACACUGACGCUGAUGCGCGACAGCAUGGGGAGCAAACAGG
rnacentral:rRNA from 1 species